AAAACAGCCAAGAUGGCUGACUUCAAGUCACCGUUCGUAAAUUCAAUGUUGCAAACUUUUUCGCAAGGCCACGAAAAAGCAUUUAAACAGGCACUAUACACAACAGCGGCUAACGUUUUUCUUUUAUUAGCUGGAGCUUCGGCAAUUGCUGUGUAUUUUAUUCUGGAGGCCUUUCUUCGACCUUUAUUGUGGGCAGUGUUAUGUGGAACAUUUCUGUACCCCUUCAAACGGGAAAUAACAGCAAUAUUAAGACGAUGGCUACGUGGUUUACAAGACUCGGGAACUCCAUUUGCUAUCGGGAUUGCCUAUAUACCAAUACAAGCACUUGAUUAUACAUAUGUUAUGACAUUUGAUAGAACCAUUGUAAGGCAUUGGAAACUGCUAUGUGGUGCUAUUACAAGUUUGUUUUUUAUUUAUUUACUAUGGUAUUUUGGCCCAGUGAGAAGUAUUUUAGAUGUUUGUUGUGCAGUUUUCAUUUUCGUGUAUGAAGUAUUGGAUUAUUUUACCUCAUUUUGGGUGUGGACACUCGUUGUAGCAUACCUUGUAGUGGUUAUCUUUUUGUGGAACGAUGACUCCAAAAGAUGCCUUCAACUUCUAUCGGUACCUAUCUGGGGGGUGUUGAUUCUUCACAUUGCGUCAGUGGCAGGUGCUCUAAGAGUUCCACUGUUUAUGCUGAUCAUUGGAUUGAUUGCCACUGGAUUUGCCACAGAAGUAAAAGAAACCAAAAGAAAAGUUGAAGAGAAAGGCCAGAGUAUAUCUGAUCUGAAAGCAAUAUGGAUAGUAUUUAGUGGGGACUUGGAGCGAUCUCUCAGUGAGGUUCAACAAUCAGACUCAUCAAUUUUGGACUCCUCUACUGAAAUAUCCACAACUGAAAGUUUUAGUAGCGAGAAUACAGUAUAUCAAAGUCAGAAAUCAACAGAGAUUAAAAAGCCAACAGAUCUUCCUAUCAACUUGAAUACUCCGGGGACUGCCACCCCUAAAGUCGGCUCCGUUCGACAGAAAAGAGUGAAAACAUCGGAAGAGAAGGGACCAGUAAGCACUAAGUACUUUGUGUACUUAUUCUGGGCCUUAGUUCUGACUCGAGUUUGGAUGAAUAUUUGGUUGUUGCAACUUCUAGUUCCUUUAUUAGGUCUUAUGUGGAUUUUUAAAGCAUUUGUGCAUCAACUGAAGCCAGGGGGAUUUUUCGGAGAGAAAGUGGAAUAUUGUAAAUCAUCAUUCAUGGAGUGGUACACAGCCAGAAGUGAAGUGCUGGCUCCUAGAUGGGUGAUUGGUCUGUUGAAACUGUUCAGUCGUGGAGAUGCAAAGAUGAUGUCCAUCUUAGAGGGGUCCCUGGACAAGUUCACCAGUGUCCUGUUUAUUUUCAUCCUCCUGAUUGGAUCCACCUUGUUUACUAUUUUCUUUGCUGUUCAGGUUCACCAAGAAAGUAUGCAUCUCUUCCGCAUUUCCAGCAAUGUGUUGAACAAUACGAGAGAGUAUGCAGACUGGUUACCAAAGGGAGAAGACAUGCAAAUAGCUAUGGACUCCAUGGUUGGAAAUGCUUAUUUGUAUGGCAGAAAAUGGCUUGCUUCAAAGGUUCAUGACCUGGUUGGGAGAGAUAAAGAGGUCAACAACACAAAGAUAGAAGGCAAGGUUCUAGAAGUGUGGGACAACCUGUAUCACAGCUGGCUGGCUCGGGGUGCCUCUAACUACAGCGAGGCUAAGCCGGGGUUUCAGAUCAUGCCCAGCGAAAUGCUGGACUGGAAGUCCAUCUAUGAGUUUGGCAUGCAGGGAAAGAGCUUCAACUACUCACAAGUGAUGGAGUUUGUCAAGGAUAACAUUGGAACAUUUGUGUCUGUUCUUGAAAACGUGUGGAUGGUUCUGAAGGGAAACAUGAGUUUGAUGCUGAGUAUAGCAACAGCAGCCCUCUCUAUUGUCCUGGGGGGAGGAACAGCAAUACUCAACCUGUUCAUUUCAGCUGCUAUAUUUCUGACCACUCUUUUCUACCUGCUGGCAUCCAGUGGGAAGCAGUUUAAACCUCUAGAGUGGAUCUCUGGCCUCAAUCCUCACCCCUCGGGCAGUACCUUUAGCCUGGCUGUAGAGGAAGCCAUAGGUGGGGUAUUCAUGGCGUCCCUGAAGAUGGCUGCAUUUUAUGGAUUGUACACAUGGUUAACACACACUCUCUUUGGAAUCAACAUGGUGUUCAUCCCAUCAGCCCUGGCAGCCGUUUUAGCGGCCGUGCCUUUCCUGGGUCCCUACUGGGCCACCCUUCCUGCGGUGCUGGAACUCUGGCUAAUCCAAGGUCAAGGGUUAAAGGGCCUCAGUCUCUUCAUCUGUCACAUCCUGCCCACCUACUUUGUGGACACCUCCAUUCUGGGAGAGAUCAAAGGUGGCCAUCCCUAUUUAACUGGUCUUGCCAUUGCUGGAGGUAUCUAUUGGCUAGGACUGGAGGGGGCAAUCAUAGGCCCCAUCCUCCUGUGUUGCUUCAUUGUGGUCUACAAUGUAUAUGGCUCCAUGUUGACAACAGAUGGAAUUCCAGAUCUGUGAGUGACAUCACUCAACAACAAGUAUGAAGAGAGAACUCUCCUUCAAAAAUGGGGGAAUCGGUCAUUGGUGCCAUAUUGUUUCAGACUGUGUUUGACACAGCAGCGAUGGAUUUUUAUACGGCUCCUGGCUUGUGUGGUUCCUGGCUUGUGUUUGGCUUUGGAUGAAGUGGACCCGAGUCCUCAGUUCUUGCCAUAUUGUGUUUGUAGUACGUUCAGAUCAUUUUCAUAGAAAAAGUCGGACCCAGGCCUCAUCAACAUCUGACAUUUUUAUCAAGUUACUCAUUGUGCAAUGGAUUUGUAUUUGAUACACAAAGAAUUUAUUAUCUAAAUUAUUAGAUCUUAUUGUUAAAAACACCAAAAAUCUGUGCAAAAGACUGAUACCCUCUACAUUUUUAAUGUACAGAACUGUGAUAAACCAACAUACACAUGUAUGAACAUAUUCCUGAAUUUUCUGUAUUAUUUGACAACCUCAGAACAGUGGAUGUCACAACUUAUUAACUAGUCACCUUAUGGCGAAUUAUUGACAACGUUUCGAAUGAUAUACUCAGUAGUAUAGGCAUUAGAUUUCAUGAUCCAGUUCAGAAUGUUUUAGCUAAAGAAAUUGAUGCUUGCAAUGUUAUUUCUUUUUUUUUUAAAUUAUUCGUAUAUCUUUAUUUAUUUUUGUUAAAGUUUAUAUAUGCUAUUUUACUUUUAUUUUAUUUUAAAGAUGUUUAUGCUAUUAAAGAAUUCAGUU
rnacentral:misc_RNA from 1 species